rnacentral:lncRNA from 10 species
AGAGGCGACACUCAUUGUAGCAGAGAGGCAGGACCAACUGGGAGAGGGUCCUUCUGUGACAACUAUUGCAUCACCGGGCUGUGUGAAGUGACUCAGCUGCCAGAACUCACACAAUAUCAUUCUACACCAAACCUCACGGGAAAAAUGCUCCACGACCCUCAGACUUAAACAGCAGCACUGGCUCCUCCCCAGAUCUCCAGCUCCCUGACCCUCAAACUCCAACUCCAACACCAGCUCUGCCCCAGGUCUCCAGCUCCACAAUCCUCAAACUACAACAGCAGCACCAGCUCCCCUGGGGAUCUCCAGCUCAAUGACUCUCAGACUUGGGAGGCAGCUCCAGCUCCCACCAAGCCUCCAGCUCCACAACCUUCAAACUAGAACAGCAGCACCAGCUACUCCCUGGGUCUCCAGCUCCCUCAAAAUUCAACUAUAGCACUGGCUGUUCCCCAGCGCCACCAGCUCCACAACCCUCAACUUACACGGUGGUAGCACCAGCUCCUCCCUAGGUCUCCAGCUACACGACCGUCAAACUUGAACUGCAACACCAGCUCCUCUUCGGCCUCCAGCUCCACAAUCCUCCAACAACAACAGCAACACCGGCUCCUCCCUGAAUCUCCAGCUCAACAACCCUCAGACUUGAGAGGCAGCACCGGCACCUCCCCAAGGCUCCAGCUCCAUGACCCUCAGAUUUGAACAGCGGUAGCACCAGCUCCUGUCCAGGUCUCCAGCUUCAUGAUCCUUAAACUAGAACAGCAGCACCACCACCUCCCUAGGUUUCCAGCUCCACGACCCUAAGACAUGAAUGGCAGGACCGGGUUCCCCGCUAGGGCUCCAGCUCCAAGACCCACAGAUAUAAACGGCAGCACCGGCUCUUCCUGGGAUCUCCAGCUCCACAGCCUUCAAACACGAUCAGCAGCACCAGCUCCCCUCUGGUUCUCCAGCUCCACAAUCCUCAGACAUGAACAGCAGCACAGGCUCCUCCUUGGGUCUCCAGCUUCUCUACCCUCAGACUAGAACAGCAACACUUGUUCCUCCCUGGGUCUCCAGCUCUUACAAGUCUCAGACUUGAAAGGCAGCACUGGCUCCUCAGAAAGUUUCUGGCUCCAAGCUGGUGCUGCUGUCCUAGUUUGAAGGUCAUGGAGCUGGAGACCCGGGGAGGAACCAUUUGAACAGCAGCACUGGCCCCUCCCCGGGUCUCAGGCUCCACGACCCUCAGACUUAAAAAGCCGUAGUACGGGCUUCUCCCUGGGUCUCCAUCUCUACAACCCUCAGACAUGAACAGCAGCAGCACCGCCCCCUCCCCCUGUCUCCAGUUCCACGAACCUCAAACUACAACAGCAGUACCGGCCUCUCCCCAGGUCUCCAGAUCCACGACCCUCAAAAUAGAAUGGCAUCACCGGCUCCUCCCUGGGUCUCCAGCUCCCAAACUCUCAAACUUCAAUUGACACACCGGACCCUCCCCACAGUUAAACAGCAGCACGGGCUGUUCCCCAAAGCUCCAGAUCCACGACCCUCUGACUUAAAGGGCGAUAGCACCAACUCCUCCCUAAGUCUCCAGUUCCACGACCCUCAAACUACACAGCAGCACCGGCUCCUCCUUGGGUCUCCAGCUUCACUACACUCAGACUAGAAUAGCAACACCGGUUCCUCCCUGGAACUCCAGCUCAAUGACUCUCAGACUUGAAAGGCAGCACCAGCUCCUCAAAAAGGUUCUGGCUCCAAGACCCUCGAACUAGAAUAGCAGCAGCUGCUGCAUCUUGGGUCUCCAGCUCCACAACCCUCAAAGUAGAAAAGCAGCCCUGGCUCCUCCCCGAGUCUCCAACUCCUCAAGUCUGAGGGUUGUAGAGCUGGAGACCCGGGGAGGAGUCAGUGCUGCUGUUCUAGUUUGAGGGUCAUGGAUCUGGAGACCCAGGGUGGAGCCGGUGCUGCUGUUCUAGUGUGAGGGUCAUGGAGCUGGAAGACCCCGGGAGGAGCUGCUGCUGCUGUUCUAGUGUGAGGGUCAUGGAGCUGGAAGACCCCGGGAGGAGCUGCUGCUGCUGUCCUAGUUUGAAGGUCAUGGAGCUGGAGACCCCGGAAUGAGCCAUUUGAACAGCAGCACUGGCCCCUCCCCAGGUCUCAGGCUCCACGACCCUCAGACUUAAAAAGCCGUAGUACGGGCUUCUCCCUGGGUCUCCAGCUCUACAACCCUCAGACAUGAACAGCAGCACCGGCUCCUCCCCCUGUCUCCAGUUCCACGAACCUCAAACUACAACAGCAGUACCGGCCUCUCCCCAGGUCUCCAGAUCCAUGACCCUCAAAAUAGAAUGGCAUCAUCAGCUCCUCCCUGGGUCUCCAGCUCCCAAACCCUCAAACUUCAACUAACACAGCAGAUCCUCCCCACAGUUAAACAGCAGCACGGGCUGUUCCCCAAAGCUCCAGAUACACGACCCUCAGUAGCACUGGCUCCUCCCAAGGUCUCCAGUUCCAUGACCCUCAAACUACACAGCAGCACCGGCUCCUCCCCAGGUCUAUAGCUCCACCACCCUCACACUAGACAUCAAGACUACCUCCUUCCCGCUCUCCAGCUACACGACCCUCAAACUUGAACAGCAGCAGCAGCUCCUCCCUAGAUUUCCAGCUCCAUGACCCUAAACCUGCAACAGCAGCACCAGCUCCUCCCUGUACCUCAAGCCCCAUGACCCUCUGACUUGAUCAACAGCAACAGCAGCUCCCUCCCUGGUCUCCAGCUCCACAACCUUCAGCCUUAAACAGCAGCAGCACCAGCUCCUCCCUGGGUCUCCAGCUCCACAACCCUCAGACUAGAACCGCACCCCUCCUCCCUGAGUCUCCAGCUCCAUGACCGUCAAACUACAACAGCAACACAGGUUCCUGUCUGGAUCUCCAGCUCAGCAACUCUCAGAUGAGGCAGCACCGGCAACUCACCAAGGCUCCAGCUCCACAACCCUCAGAUUUGAAUAAUGGUAGCACCAGCUCCUGUCCAGAUCUCCAGCUUCAUGAUCCUUAAACUAGAACAGCAGCACCGCUGCCUCCCUGGGUUUCCAGCUCCACGACCCUAAGACAUGAAUGGCAGAACCGGCUUCCCACAAGGGUUCCAGCUCCAGGACCCACAGAUUUAAAUGGCAGCACUGGCUCUUCCCAGGAUUUCCAGCUCCACUACCCUCAAACUAGAAGAGGAGCACCGGCUCCUCCCUGGGUCUCCAGCUCCCAAACCCUCAGACAUCACCUGACACACUGGAUCCUCCCCACAGUUACAUAGCAGCACGGGCUGUCCCCGAAAACUCGAGAUCCACAACCCUCUGACUUCAAUGGCGGUAGUACUGGUUCCUCCCUAGGUCUCCAGUUCCAUGACCCUCAAACUACACAGCAGCACCAGCUCCUCCCCAGGUCUACAGCUCCACCACCCUCACACUAGACACCAGGACUACCUCCUCCCCGCUCUCCAGCUACACGACCCGCAGAUUUGAACAGCAGCAGCGUCUCCUCCCUGUACCUCAAGCCCCAUAACCCUCAUAUAUGAACAACAGCAAUACCAGCUAAUGCCUAGGGCUCCAGCUCCAGGAUCCACAGAUUUAAACUGCAGCACCAGCUCGUCCAAGGAUCUCCAGCUCCACCACCCUCAGACUAGAACAAGACCUCUACUCCCUGGGUCGCGAGCUUCCGGACCCUCGAACUAUGAAAACAUUGCUCCUCCCUGGGUCUGCAGCUCCACAACCCUCAAACUAGAACCAGACCUCUCCUCCCUGUGUUGCCAGCUUCCUGACCCUUGAACUAUGGAAACAUGGCUCCUCCCUAGGUCUGCAGCUUCCAGUCCCUCAAAUAACAACAUUGCUCCUCCCUGGAUCUGCAGCUCCAUGACUCUCAGACUACAACAAGAUCUCUCCUCCCUGGGUCUGCAGCUUCCAGUCCCUCAAAUAACAACAUUGCUCCUCCCUGGAUCUGCAGCUCCACGACCCUCAGACUAGAACAAGACCUCUCCUCCCUGAGUCACCAGCUUCCCAGUCCCCAAAUAACAACAUUGCUCCUCCCUGGAUCUGCAGCUCCACGACCCUCAGACUAGAACAAGAUCUCUCCUCCCUGGGUCACCAGCUUCCGGACCCUGGAACUACAAAAACAUUGCUCCUCCCUGGGUCUGCAGCUCCACAACCCUCAAACUAAAACAAGAUCUCUCCUCCCUGUGUUGCCAGCUUCCGGACCCUCGAACUAUGACAACAUUGCUCCUCCCUGGGUCUGCAGCUCCACGACCCUCAAAGCAGAUCAAGAUCUCUCCUUCCUGUGUCAUCAGCUUCCUGACCCUUGAACUAUGACAACAUUGCUCCUCCCUGGGUCUGCAGCUCCAUGACUCUCAAACUAGAACAGCAGCACCAGCUCCUUCCUGGACCUCCAGGUCAAUGACUCUCAGACUUCAAAGGCAGCAGCAGCUCCACCCCCAGGCUCCAGCUCUAAAACCCUCAGAUGUGAGCAGUGGCAGCACCAGCUCCUUUCUGCGUCUCCGGCUUCAUGAUCCUUAAAUUAGAACAGCAGCGCCAUCUUCUCCCUGCGUCUCCAGCUCCAGGAACCUCAAACUGCAACAGGAGCACCUGUUCCUCUGGGAUUUUCACCUCCACGACCCUGAGGUGUCAGUGGCAGCACUGGCUCCUCCCCUGGGCUGCAGCUCCAGAACCCUCAAGAAUAAUCCCUUCUCAUGAAAUGUAGCAGUCAGGAAAACUGCAGAGGAA